AGGAAAGCAAAACAACAAAUACGAAACCUGUCAAUGAAUCAGAAACAAGAUGAAGAUGUGAAAGCAAAACAACAAAUACGAAACCUGUCAAUGAAUCAGAAACAAGUUGAAGAUGUGUACGUAAAUCAAAGUUCAAUCAUUAAUCAAGUAAAUAAGAAAGAUGUAUCCGAAGAUGUGUAUAUGUAUUCUAUGCCAACUGAGCAACAUAUUUACACAGAUUUGAAGACAACAUAAGCAACACGUGGUUGAUACAAACCUACGGAAUUAUUUACAAAAUCAUUAAUGUAUUAUUCUUUUGUCAAAUUCUGAACAAUUUUUUUUUUCUCUCUAACUUUAUUUCACCAUUCUUUUCUCUGAUUUUUAAUCAUUAUCGUCAAUAUUAUACACACUACUGUAAUAAUAUAAUGUUGUCAAUGAACAAUUACAUAGUUAAUUUGCAUAGUUAAUAUAGAUGAAAACAAGUAAUAGGCCUAAGCCAGUAAAUUGAGAUUAUCAAAACAAUUUUGAACGCAACCUUACCAUACAUAUACUUUUAUCGUCUUUUUUCACACAAAAAAACAAAUUUGACGAAAAAUUCGGGAGCGGUUGAUGACAUACAGAUUCCUUAAUCUUUAAUUUAAAAACUGGUGCCAAAGGCGGCAAGAAGAGUGGUUGCGCUCCUUUUUCUCCCAUUGUUUUAAUAUUGAAAAAUCUGUAACUCUUCAACUACUCUCCUACUUUUUUUGUCAAAUAAACUUUGUGUCAUAGUAAAGUCAGUUGUACAACAUAUCACAAACAUUUGUUUUGUUUUGUUUUUUUUUGCUCCAGAGCCUGGCCAUAAAUUAUUAUUAUUGACUGUAUAAAAAGCAGCUAUUGAUAAGUUGGUUGAAUACUAUUGUUCCUGCUUCUUGUGCUGACGUUCACCCGUUCAAUCCUCGUUAGCUCCAGACAUUUUUUACGUUCAAUUUUUACAAUGAAUGAAUGGAAUGUUUUAUUAACAAUUGUUCACAAUACUUACGAGCGGUAAAGUCAGGGGAACCGUAACCUUUAGCUUGGCGCUGGUUCGAACGGCUCACUCGCCAAUGGUUCUGGUGGUGGAACAAGUCUUCUCGUAUAAAGACAUUAAAUCGUAGGCCCAGUUUUGGCUCCUCUACACUUUAAAGAACCCAGUACAUUCUUCGAGAAGAGUAGGGGGUUACCCAGGUGUACUGCUCCAUUAAGUCCCCUGUUAAUUGGAUAUGCCAGGUAGGACAGUGAUUACUUUUACUUAUUGGCAUAUCCUAGGGGCUCGUUCCGAAGGAAAUAGAAUGAAAAAAAAAAUGAAAUCAAUACUUAAUGAUGGUCACAAAACCAGUAGACUUUUAAGCCAAGUUCCAGGGGGAAAAAGUUUUUGAUGUGUUGUACAACUGCUUUUUCUAAGACACAAAAAGCAUACUUUAAGAAAAAAUACAGAAUUUUUAAUAUUUAAAAAAUGGGGUUAUACUGAUCAACGUUUGAUUGAAAUCAGCCCAACCGUUUUUGGUUCUAGUAGCGUUUUGAAAUGUUGCCUGCUGAAAAAGAAGAAUCCGAAGAACGCUAAGAAAACAGUCAGAAGCCAGUUUACCUGCGGCUGACUAAGUAAAUAACGGAAUCAUUUCAAUUUCGGUUAUUUUACCAAUUCCAAAGUUUCAAACAUUUUGGCAUUUAUGCAAAACCGACCUGCACACCUGCAAAAUUGGCAACGUAAGAGUUAAUGACUAUCGUUCAGUGGCUUUAAAUUCUACGACUUUUGUUUUCAUUUCUGGUUUUAUUAUCAAACUCAUUGCAAAAUUAAUUGAAGUAUGAAAAGGUUUACAAAAGCAAAAAAAAAUAGUGCGAAAACCCCCCCAAUGACAAUAAAAUACAUCAAGAGUAAAAAAAAAGUAUCAGCUCAAAAAGGGUAAAAAUAUUCAAAAAGAUAAAAGACCAUUAACAAUAAAAACUAUAGACCAAACACCAAAAGCAACUGAAACACAAAACAAUUACAGCAAUAAAAUCGAUAAUUAAUAUCAAAGGGCAACACUCAAAAAUCAUACAACAUCCAAAUUAUUAUUAUCAUACAAAUUCAUUAUUGUUGUUAAUAAAUAUUAUUGAAAUAUAAGAUUUACAUAAAUAUAAAUAAUGGAGACUGUAGUAAAGUCAUUAUAAAGUCAAGAAGGGGAAGAAUAGUUCCUACCCCGCUAGAAAUUAUUGAGUCCACUUGAGAUUCCGAAAGAAUAUAUAUGGUCAACUUAUGCGGAUUUUAAGUUACUCGAAAUGAGUAUUAACACAAAGCUAAUAUCAUAGAUUCUCAGUUUCCUGUGGGAGAGACCACAAUUUUGUGAAAAUAGGUAGUACGAUGUAAGAUUCAUAAGUAUGCCGAUAACACAUUACGGUAAUAAUUGGCUAUUUAAGAAACAACCAAUAUAAAUAAAUUAAGUUAACCGGUUUUUUGCAUGGUGUGUUUACCACAAUUAGAAACUAAAUAUUAGUAAUACAAAGAAAUAAUCAUUUACUUUAGAAGGAUAGGCACAUGACACGCCCAUCUAACUAUUAAAUAAGCUGCUGUCGAACAGGUACAAGAAUGUAGAUAUUUUAGGUAGGCCUACUACUAUCAUUAAUAAAUUAAUAAGAUGGGUUGGAACACUAACUCAAUAUUAUGAUUAUUAUAGUAUAAUAAAACUCGUCAAAGACUACACUUCCUUAGGAAACUUGUUGACAACACAAAUUGACAAAUGUUGUGUUGUCAAUACCUUUAAACUUAUUUAUCAAUCUGUCAUACAAAGUAUUUGUACAAUAGGGUUUUUAUUCAUGGUAAUAUGUUUAAAGUAAGUAAAACUAAAUUUGAACGAAUAAACUACUCUGUAAUGAUGGACAACACUUA